rnacentral:misc_RNA from 1 species
AACACUGUUAACCUGCGGUACCUGCGGAAGGAUCAUUACAGUAUUCUUUUGCCAGCGCUUAACUGCGCGGCGAAAAACCUUACACACAGUGUCUUUUUGAUACAGAACUCUUGCUUUGGUUUGGCCUAGAGAUAGGUUGGGCCAGAGGUUUAACAAAACACAAUUUAAUUAUUUUUACAGUUAGUCAAAUUUUGAAUUAAUCUUCAAAACUUUCAACAAUGGAUCUCAGAUCGGAAGAGC